GGGUCGAUGGCGUAGUCGGUUAUCGCACCUGUCUCACAUGGUUCAGUCAUUUGCUUGUGUGCACAGGAGGUCCUCAGUUCGAGCCUGGGUCGACUCA